rfam:Sorghum bicolor cultivar BTx623 chromosome 2, whole genome shotgun sequence.
AGGAUGAGAGCCGCUGAGGCUAGCCAAGGAGACUGCCUGCGAUCGACAACCACACACACACGCGCGCGCAGAAGAAGAGCCUCCUGCCGCAGGUGGAGUGGAGGCCACAGGCAAGUCAUCCUUGGCUACCAGAGCAGUGCUCUCAUCG